AACGUGGGGCGGGGGAGCUCUACUCUGUCCUCCUAAUUUUUCUUUUUUAAUAUUUUAGCUUUAAACCUGCGUCACAAAGAGCUGGAGUUCAAUAAGCGCCACGUGGAAGCUCAUUUUAUCUCAUCGCCAGCAGGAAGGGGGCGCUGGCGCUUUGGUGACGUUGCUGCUCCGCCAUCUACAACGAAAAGACUGAGCAGCCACAGGUUCGGUCUUUGGUGCGUCUGACCUGCUCCGGUGUAGACAGCUCAACGUUUGAAGUGAGCAUCAUAAAUGAAACUGCGGCCCAGAAAGGUGGGUUACAUCUGCUCUUCCUUUCAUUUCAACCUGUUGACAAAAAGUUAACUCAAACCCCCACAAGUCCCUGAAAGCAGGAACAUGAGGCUGUAAUCAUCAUGCUGCCUGCCUGUAACUUUGAAUAAGAUUAGCAAAUGUGUUUAUUUAAUACUAACUUAAAUCGUUGAAUAUUUUUGACAGGUCGAUAUUAUUUUUUUUACUUUAAUUCCAUAUUUCAUACAAUCUGUACAAGAGGACAUGUUUCAGCCACGUUGCAUAAGCAGGAUGAUAAAUGUAGCUUAAAGCAGUUAGAAAUAUUGUCUUGUUAGGGGUAUAUGGUUGGAUCAGGCUUAAAGUUGAACAUCUCUAGAUGUUUUUAUUUCUCUGAUGAUGACCUGCACUGGGCUCUGAGUCUGCAUGGAGACAGAUGUGCGUCUUUGGCCCUGACAAGCCAAAGUUUCUGAUGAGAAAUUACGUUUUAUGUUUAGAAAUAGAUUAUAGUAAUUUUUUCAUUUAAGUAAUUCAUUCUU